CACUGGAGGACCGAACCAGGGCACGUUGAAAAGUGCUUGGAUGACUUGUGGGUAGCGGAGAAAUUCCAAACGAACUUGGAGAUAGCUGGUUCUCUCCGAAAUAGCUUUAGGGCUAGCGUCGAUGUUAAGUCUCUUGGAGGUAGAGCACUGUUUGGGUGAGGGGUCCAUCCCGGAUUACCAAUCUCAGAUAAACUCCGAAUGCCAACGAGAUAUAAUCGGCAGUCAGACUGCGAGUGCUAAGAUCCGUAGUCGAAAGGGAAACAGCCCAGACCACCAGCUAAGGUCCCAAAAUAUAUGUUAAGUGGAAAAGGAUGUGGGGUUGCACAGACAACUAGGAUGUUAGCUUAGAAGCAGCUAUUCAUUCAAAGAGUGCGUAAUAGCUCACUAGUCGAGUGACCCUGCGCCGAAAAUGUACCGGGGCUAAAACAUAUUACCGAAGCUGUGGAUACCUUUAUAGGUAUGGUAGGAGAGCGUUCUAUGUGCGAAGAAGGUGUACCGUGAGGAGUGCUGGAGCGCAUAGAAGUGAGAAUGCCGGUAUGAGUAGCGAAAGACAGGUGAGAAUCCUGUCCACCGUAAGACUAAGGUUUCCAGGGGAAGGCUCGUCCGCCCUGGGUUAGUCGGGACCUAAGGAGAGACCGAAAGGUGUAUCCGAUGGACAACAGGUUGAUAUUCCUGUACUAGAGUAUAUAGUGAUGGAGGGACGCAGUAGGCUAACUAAACCAGACGAUUGGAAGUGUCUGGCCAAGCAGUGAGGUGUGAUAUGAGUCAAAUGCUUAUAUCUAUAACAUUGAGCUGUGAUGGGGAGCGAAGUUUAGUAGCGAAGUUAGUGAUGUCACACUGCCGAGAAAAGCUUCUAGCGUUAAUUAUACUCUACCCGUACCGCAAACCGACACAGGUAGUCGAGGCGAGUAGCCUCAGGUGAGCGAGAGAACUCUCGUUAAGGAACUCGGCAAAAUGGCCCCGUAACUUCGGGAGAAGGGGCGCUGACUUAUGGUCAGCCGCAGUGAAUAGGCCCAAGCAACUGUUUAUCAAAAACACAGCUCUCUGCUAAAUCGUAAGAUGAUGUAUAGGGGGUGACGCCUGCCCGGUGCUGGAAGGUUAAGAGGAGUGCUUAGCAAUAGCGAAGGUAUGAAUUGAAGCCCCAGUAAACGGCGGCCGUAACUAUAACGGUCCUAAGGUAGCGAAAUUCCUUGUCGGGUAAGUUCCGACCCGCACGAAAGGCGUAACG
rnacentral:rRNA from 1 species